rnacentral:tRNA from 1 species
GCCCCGGACGGACGGGGGAGCACGGACGCCGCAAGACUCAUAAUCCGCUGGUCGCAGGUUCGAGUCCCGCCCGCCCCACCA